rnacentral:rRNA from 1 species
UAGUCUGNAACCCGACUACAUGAAGCUGGAAUCGCUAGUAAUCGCGAAUCAGAAUGUCGCGGUGAAUACGUUCCCGGGUCUUGUACACACCGCCCGUCACACCAUGGGAGUCGGAAAUGCCCGAAGUCAGUGACCCAACCGUAAGGAGGGAGCUGCCGAAGGUGGAGCCGGUAACUGGGGUGAAGUCGUAACAAGGUAUC